GAUGAACGCUAGCUACAGGCUUAACACAUGCAAGUCGAGGGGUAGCAGGGUAGCAAUACCGCUGACGACCGGCGCACGGGAGUAACACGUAUCCAACCUUCCCAUAACUCGGGGAUAGCCUUUCGAAGGAAAGAUUAAUACCCGAUAGUACUUUAUUAAGGCAUCUUAAGAAAGUUAAAGAUUUAUUGGUUAUGGAUGGGGAUGCGUUCCAUUAGAUAGUUGGUGAGGUAACGGCUCACCAAGUCUUCGAUGGAUAGGGGUUCUGAGAGGAAGGUCCCCCGCAUUGGUACUCGGACACGGACCAAACUCCUACGGGAGGCAGCAGUGAGGAAUAUUGGUCAAUGGGCGAGAGCCUGAACCAGCCAAGUAGCGUGAAGGAUGAAGGUCGUAUGGAUUGUAAACUUCUUUUAUAGUAGAAUAAAGUGAACCACGUGUGGUUUUUUGUAUGUAUACUAUGAAUAAGGAUCGGCUAACUCCGUGCCAGCAGCCGCAGUAAAAC
rnacentral:rRNA from 1 species